AAGCUAGCAUUCUGAAGCAGUCCAUGUAGCAAAGAAUAUAUGGGAGUUUACAGCCAACAACUAGCAAAGAACUGAAUUCUCUUAGUCAUUCCAACCACAAAGAAUGGAACCCUGACAAUAACCAAUCCUGAGGUAGCUUGGAAGAAUUUGCCCCAGUAGAACCUAAGAUGAGUAUGGACCUGGCUGAGAAGUUGAUUACAGGCUUGCGAGAGACCCUGAAAGCAGAGGACCCAGGACUUAACAACAUGGGUAUAGGGACUGGAGAGAUGAACAGUUGGGUUUAUACAAGGUGGUUAUAGCUUUUCUGGAUACAAGCAGUUACAGGGUUUUCUCCUCUAUUUCCUGCAUUCUAAACAUACCAUGUGUCUACAUUGAGCCUACAUGUGGUACUUCCAAGAUAAUCAUUUCCAAUGCAAGCAUGCACAAAGCUCUGUGAUUGGAGCUAGAGUGCACAUUGAUUUAAGAAGGAGGAGAUUAGGAUAUAGACAUACACAGAAGGAAGACCAUAUGAAGACAGGGAAAAGAUGGCUAUCUAUCUAUAAGCCCAGCAGAGAGGCCUUAGAAGAAUCCAACCCUGACAAUAUCUUGAUCUUCAACUUCUGGCCUCCAGAGCGAGAAAGAGGGAGAGGCAGAGACACAGGCAGAGGGAGAAGCAGGCUCCAUGCAG